CCCGCCCCGCCCGCCCUUGCCAUGGCGGCAGCGGCGGCCCCGCGGCCUGUCCCCGGCCGCGCAGGCCGCGGCGUUCCCGGGCCGGAGGUGCAGCGGAAUGACCGGGGUUAGCUUGCCGCUUUCCACCGGCACCGGGGCGGUGCCUCGGCGCGGGAGAGGGGGUCACCCAGCUCCGCUCGGCUGCUUGUGACAGGCUGACGGACAGCGCGACGCUUCCUCUGCCGCCGCGGGAGCGCUUGCACCAGAUCUUGAGAAUGAGGAGAAGACGGGGCAUUACCUAGAAAGAUGAAGAAACUAUGCAAACAUGCACUAAUUCAGUGCCACACAGCUGUAAUGGAAGGACAUCCUGGUCACUCUGGAGCAGUAGCAGCUUUACCUAGAUGCACAUGAAAAGUCUUCCUUGAAAAGUUUGCAAAGCAACUGAUUCUUCAAAUAGAUUUCUUUCAGGGCCUGCAUGGAUGUAUGCCAGCCUGUCCUGCAGGAUAUAGUCCAGCGAGUAGGAUCAAAAAUGUGUUUGAACUUGGCAUAAUUGCAAUGAACAUAAAGGGAGAAAGCAGAGCUGCCAUCUCCACUCUGUGGUUGGGCUCAGGAAAAGAAUUGCAUUGAUGGAUUAGUGCAACAACCCUCCUAGCCAUGGAAGAAUGCAUCUUACAAGAAAAUCCAUAGGUGACUAAUUGGCCAGAUUGGCCAUCCCUCACCCACAGUGGUAAGCAGCCUUUGAGAUCAGGGAGAAACAUAUUGGUAUACCUGGAGCUCAGUCUAGAUCUAAGUUAAGUUAAGCAUCUGAAUACGGAAUUUGAAACUUAACAUGGUGUGCCAUAUGAACAAAAAGAGAAAAAAACAAUUUCCACUGUGGAUAUUUUGGUCUUGAAUCCUGCUUUUCUACCACAUUUCAGCAGUGUCUGGUAACUUAAUACCUUUGCUUUCAUGUUUGUUUGGUUUUUAAGUUAGUCAGUCAUUACACAAUGUCAUUUAGAAUCAAUUUAGCACCCUUCCAUUGUGCUGAGUGAUUCCAGUGAAUAAUGAUAGCAGGAUUAGCCAGCUACUAAUUAAAUGUUGCUGCCUCUUAGCUUGAAAAUGAAACACCUCUUUGGAAUUUAAGAGUUUCUGGCUUUAUUUAGGCUGUGCGUCUGAAUAGGAUGUACCAGGUUAGCGUGGACAGUGCAAUCUAUAAAUGAAAAAUUAAAACAGCAAAAAAGAAGAGAGUGAGACAAGGGAAACAAAUUCACCCAAUCAUUAAAACUUUGACUUGCAUGGAAGAUUUUCCACACUUAGCUGAAUCCUGAGUGUAAUUUCCUAAUUUUGCCUUUGUACAAUGCAGAUAAAGGGUUCAUGUCUGUUCUCAUUUUCACUCACAGAUGUGUCUUCAAAUUUUUGCAAGUGAUGAGUGGUAUAAAAUAGGAUGUAUUGCCUAUUUGUUGAAGCCAAUAGGUGUACCUGUUCCAAUAAAGCAGGAGCUAGGUUCCUUACCAUUUGUGGACUAAAGAACCCAUUGAAUGCUUGCUUCUCAUAUUGGCUUGACUACUAUUGAAUUCACUGAUUAAUGUUUGAA